rnacentral:rRNA from 1 species
AUUGAACGCUGGCGGCAGGCUUAACACAUGCAAGUCGAACGAGCGGCGGACGGGUGAGUAAUGUCUGGGAACCUGCCUGAUAGCGGGGGAUAACUACUGGAAAAGGUAGCUAAUACCGCAUACCAUCAGAUGUGCCCAGAUGGGAUUAGCUAGUAGGUGGGGUAAUGGCUCACCAAGGCGACGAUCCCUAGCUGGUUUGAGAGGCCGACCAGCCACACUGGAACUGAGACACGGCCCAGACUCCUACGUGAGGCAGCAGUGGGGAAUAUUGGACAAUGGGCGAAAGCCUGAUGCAGCCAUGCCGCGUGUGUGAUGAAGGCCUUCGGGUUGUAAAGUACUUUUAGCGAGGAAGCGGUAUUUGCAGAAUAAGCACCGGCUAACUACGUGCCAGCAGCCGCGGUAAUAC